rfam:Triticum urartu cultivar G1812 contig335369, whole genome shotgun sequence.
CAACUACUCCCUCCGUUCCGAAUUACUUGUCUUAGAGUUGUCUAGAUACGGAGGUAUCUAGCACUAAUUUUAGUGCUAGAUACCUCCGUAUCUAGACAACUCUAAGACAAGUAAUUCGGAACGGAGGGAGUAAAAA